UACGAAGGGUGCAAGCGUUAAUCGGAAUUACUGGGCGUAAAGGGCGCGUAGGCGGUUCGUUAAGUCUGCCGUGAAAUCCCCGGGCUCAACCUGGGAAUGGCGAUGGAUACUGGCGAGCUAGAGUGUGUCAGAGGAUGGUGGAAUUCCCGGUGUAGCGGUGAAAUGCGUAGAGAUCGGGAGGAACAUCAGUGGCGAAGGCGGCCAUCUGGGACAACACUGACGCUGAAGCACGAAAGCGUGGGGAGCAAACAGG
rnacentral:rRNA from 1 species